rnacentral:lncRNA from 1 species
AUGGUCUUGUUUGCUUACCGGUUUCAGUCACAUUUGGGGUGUGAAAGGUUUAUUUUACCUCCUCGGUCUUGUGACACCCAGCGAACAGCCUCUGAGGAUGCAGCCACGUGGCUCCAUGUUCUGUGUCCUGAAUACCAGCAACGUGCUAACCCCAGGACACACAGUCCUCACAGAGGCACCUGCUUGGGUGACAGAUGGCAUGAAAUCGGAGAGAUGACAGCCUGGGGAGUCAGAUGAUGGUGUCUGAAGGCAAGAGGCCAGAGUUCUCAACUGCCCUCUGGUUCUCCGUUGGGUCAUCUCUGCACCAGACCCGCCCUUAUCCAACCUCCUUCGGAAGGGCCUGAGGAAACUGGCCAGACCAGACCUCCAUGCCACUGGCUGUCCCUGGCAAGAAUAAGCCGAUCCAACUUAUUCCUAUAUCUCCAGUAGCACCCAAGGACCCUGGAGGGUCUCAGCCUCGUUCAGCUCCCACAACUUUUGUGUUCUUGGGUGGCUUCCAUCACCUGCCAGUCUCAAGUUUUCCUAAUCGUGUGUAAUGGGCUGGGGGGGGGGGUGGUUCUGGUACAAAACUACACAUACCUACCUGAGGUAAUUGUAGAUUCACAUGCAGUUGUAAGAAAUAAUAGAGCUCCCUUAUACGCUUUGCCUAGCUUCCCCCAAUGCUAACUUUUGCAAAACUAUAGUGGAAGAUCACAACCAGGAUACUGAUACCGGUAAAAUCCAUCCACCUUAUUCACAUUUCUCCAGUGCGUGACAUUGUAACUAACAGACCACGCAAGCUUUCAAAUUCACCGGUGUUGCGAGUUGCUUGUGACCCAGGGGGACUGCACCGCCCUGCUCCACCCGUGCCCCUGCAAACCACGAAAAGGUUAACGGGGCUUUUAACAGGGCAUCGCAUGUCAUCGGUUAAUCCGCACACCAGCCUGUUUUACAGACGUUAAGACUGAGGCGCAGAGAAGGGUGGGUGGGUAAGUGGGCCCAGGUCCCACGGCCGGGCAGGACCUAAGCCGGGCUUGCCUACUCUAUCUACCCUCUGAGCACAGCCUAGGGGGCCACUAGGAGGCUUGGAAGGCUAAAUAAACAUAAUGGAGACCUUGUGGGCCUGGGGCAGGGUCCGGCCGUGAAGGGAAGAGCAGCCAGCCGCCCCACGCCGCGGCUUGGCCCUACACCGGAGCUCCACCCAGAAGCUUGAGCAAGCCGGACGUCACACCUUCCCCGGCCACCUGAGCUCCCCG